GGCUGGCCAGCUAUGCCCUGCUGGCCGCCGCCCCCGACGGGCGGCACGUGCUGCUGGCCGGCCUGCGCGGCGAGCUCGUCACACUGAGGGACGAUGGCCAUUGCUUUGUGCGGGUCGGCGAUCAGCUGCUAUGGGACAGCAAGAUCUACAGCGCCCUUUGGCUGUCAUCGGACACAAUAGUCGCGUGUGAUGGUGCCGGCCAACUGCAAGUGCUGCAGUUAGGUGGCAGUGGCACGUUCUCACUGGUGUGCCGCCACCAGCUACCUCCGUGCAAGCAGCGAUGGCUGUCAGCAGCGGCGCUCUACCAGGG